UUUGUUUCAUUCCCAUGAUCUCCCCGACAAGGCAAAGAUCGGUUUCCUUGAAGCCUAUGAACCUGGUUGGACAGCUACUCAUGAUAUGGAGUUAAGUCUAACUGAACCUGGACAGGCUGGCCAGUCAACACUCGGUUAAUUGUAAUUGUAAGUCCCAUUCUAGCGAUCAAGUAAAAAAGUUCGUAUGGGUAGCCAACCGAGACACACCACUGAUUCAUCAGGUCUAUGCACGGUCACCAUCCCUGGAAUUCUUGUCCUUGUUGAUAUUAACAAGACAAGCGUUUGGUCCUCGAACACACCAACAUCUGCGUCGAAUCCAGCAGCACAGCUUUCGGAUAGUGAAUGGGAAGAGAAACAAAGGAUUUUCUCAUCCAGGCCACAGCCUCAACCUGCUAGGACAUUGUGACAGUGACUUCUCUAUUAACAUCUGGUGACGAUAAUCUUCCCCUGAAUUAACUUUCUUCUGGGUUGGCUGGCUUCUGCAACAUUUUCUACCAAUAAAGAACUUUAAGCAAUUUUAUUUGAGAAUUGGGCAUUUCCUGUGUUGACACAAGACGGGAGUGUGAGGAGCUACAACUGGAUUAAUAGAGCCCAAGUUUGGGAAGUUUUACUAGGAACACCGGCUGAUACAUGUGACAACUAUGGAAUAUGUGGGCCAAAUGGUGCGUGUAAUAUUGACAACUCCCCACUAUGUGGUUGCUUGGAAGGAUUUAGACCAAAUUUUCAACAAAAAGGGGCCUUUCGGGGUGCAACAUAUGCCUGUAUGAGAAUGACUCCACUGAAAACUGCUCCUGCACAGCUUUUGCAAAUUUGGAUAUCAGGGCAGGAGGAAGUGGCUGCUCAAGAACUUUCAAUGGAAAUGGGCAAGAUAUAUACAUAAGAAUAAGAUUAGCUGCAUCUGAACCAGACAAUGCAAAAUCCAAAGUGAAGAAAACGAGAAUCAUAGUAACCAGUACUGUGUUGUCUGCUGGACUUUUAAUCCUGGGCCUAGCCCUCCUCUUACGUUUUCAGAAGAAGAAGCACCAACAAGAUGGAAAACCGAGAUCGGACCAAAGGGAAGAUCUGGAGUUACCAUUAUUUGACUUGGGCACUGUGAUUUGUGCUACCAAUGAUUUUUCAAACCACAAUAAAGUUGGGGAGGGUGGCUUUGGAUCUGUCUAUAAGGGUACACUGAUGGAUGGACAAGAAAUAGCUGUGAAAAGUCUAUUGAAACAUUCGAGGCAAGGACUCAACCGGUUAAAGAAUGAGGUUACACAUAUUGCCAAACUUCAGCACUGGAAUCUAGUGAGGCUUCUAGGAUGCUGCAUUCAAGAAGAUGAUGCUGAUCUACGAGUUCAUGCCUAACAAAAGCUUAGACUUCUUUAUUUUCGGUUUGUUUCCCAUUUGUAAACUUCCUAUGAUCCUUUGUCGAUUGGCUGUGCAACGGAAGGGAAAGUAUUAGACUGUUUUAUUUUGAUAUGAUACUAUUAUGUACUAUUUUGCAGAUCAAAGAAAAAGCAUCUUACUAGAUUGGCCUAAGUGUUUUGACAUUAUUAAUGGGAUUGCUCGGGGGCUCCUCUAUCUUCAUCAAGAUUCUAGACUGAGAGUAAUUCAUCGAGAUCUCAAAGCCGGCAACAUUCUAUUCGACGGUGAAUUUAACCCCAAAAUUUCAGACUUUGGCCUGGCAAGAAGUUUUGGAGGAAAUGAAACUACAGCAGCGAUAAAUAAAGUGGUUGGAAGAACAUAUGGUUACAUGUCCCCAGAAUAUGCGAUCGAUGGGUUCUACUUGAUAAAAUCUGACAUGUAUAGCUUUGGUGUUAUGGUGCUUGAGAUAGUGAAGGGAAAAGAAACAGAGGAUUUUCUCAUCCAAACCACAGCCUUAACUUGCAUGGACAUGUAAGUGUCAGCUGUCAAGUUGAUCAUUUUUCGUCGAAUAAUACUAGAGGGACUAUAUUCUGACUGCAUCAGCUAAUGAAGUACUACUGUGACAGUGACUUCUCUAUUAACAACUGGUGACGACAAUUCAUGCAUGGAAUUUAUACACAGAAGGCAAGUCCAUUGAAAUGCUCGAUACAUGAGUAGGAGACUCCAGUAAUCCACAUGAAGUUUUGCGGUCGAUCCAUGUGGGUCUUUUAUGCGUGCAGUGAAAUCCGGCAGAUAGGCCAAGCAUGCCAGCUGCAGUUCUGAUGUUGAGUGGUGAAAGUGCAUUGCCUGAACCGGAAAAACCUGGUUUUUACAGUGAAAGGGAUUUAGAUGACAACAAAGUCGAUCCUUGUGCAAACAAGGUUACAGUUUUUUCAGCUAAUGAAGAUACAUUUACCCUACUCGAGGCUCGAUAGUUCAUAUUUCAUGUUGCUGUUUAUUUCGUCAUAACUUGAUCUGAUGUCUAUUGGAGUGAGUUAAGUUGAUCAGAUAUUUCUCGAGUAAUCCUGCUUAUACAUUUUCUUGCCUUACAUAUGCUUUGCUCUGAUAUCAGCGGUGACUCGAUUGGAGAGGAAUUCAAUCUGAUUAGAUAAUACAUUUGAA